rnacentral:ncRNA from 2 species
AACAGAAUAGAUUUAUUAGGUGCCUUUAGCUAUGGUUAAGGGAGAAUAGGGAAUCAGGUGUGAAUCCUGAGCGGGCCCGCCACUGUAAGUAGCAGCUGGAUAGUUGGCAAUAGAUAUUGGAUAACUAUCGAUUUUAAAUUAGACUAAAAUAGACUACUAGACUUUGAGUCUAGAGAAUUUAGUGCUAAUUAGCUAUAAGUCAGGAGACCUGCCUAAUAAGGAGUAAGAGA